rnacentral:rRNA from 1 species
UACGUAGGGUGCAAGCGUUAAUCGGAAUUACUGGGCGUAAAGCGUGCGCAGGCGGUUUUGUAAGUCUGUCGUGAAAUCCCCCGGGCUCAACCUGGGAAUUGCGAUGGAGACUGCAAGGCUAGAAUCUGGCAGAGGGGGGUAGAAUUCCACGUGUGAGCAGUGAAAUGCGUAGAGAUGUGGAGGAACACCGAUGGCGAAGGCAGCCCCCUGGGUCAAGAUUGACGCUCAUGCACGAAAGGCGUGGGGAGCAAACAGG